rnacentral:rRNA from 1 species
UACGGAGGGUGCAAGCGUUAUCCGGAUUCACUGGGUUUAAAGGGAGCGUAGGUGGGUCUGUAAGUCAGUGGUGAAAUCUCCGGGCUUAACCUGGAAACUGCCAUUGAUACUAUAGGUCUUGAAUAUUGUGGAGGUUAGCGGAAUAUGUCAUGUAGCGGUGAAAUGCUUAGAUAUGUCAUAGAACACCAAUUGCGAAGGCAGCUGGCUACGCAUAUAUUGACACUGGGGCUCGAAAGCGUGGGGAUCAAACAGG